GCUAGUAAUCGCGGAUCAGAAUGCCGCGGUGAAUGCGUUCCCGGGUCUUGUACACACCGCCCGUCACACCAUGGAAGUUGGGGGCGCCCGAAGUUGCCUAAGAAAUAAGGUACCUAAGGCGAAACCAAUGACUGGGGUGAAGUCGUAACAAGGUAGC
rnacentral:rRNA from 1 species